GCACUUGCCCGGGCCCAGCACUGACCGGGGGCCCGAGGCUAUGGGAUGGGCGCCCUCAGGGGGAAUCCGCGCUCGCGGCCCCGCACUGCGGGGCAGAAACUUUACAGAGCCACAGCUCGGCUGGCAAGGAGAGGGAAGCAACACUGAUGAAUGGACAAGAUGGAUAUCAGCUUUCCUUGCGGUAAACACAUGCUGUUAAAAAUAGUGCCAAGGACACCGGGAGCAGGCGUUGAUGUAGCAAAACAGGCCUGGGAAGGAGAGUGGAGAUUGAAGAGCAGAUCAGACAAGCUAUCAGAGCUCCACCCCCAUUGAUUCCAGCUGGAGAAAAAGGGCAUUUAGUUGGCCACGUGCAGAAGUCUCAGGAUGACUGGAGAAGGGAUGAAUACUGACAUUUUUCCUAAAAUAUUCCAUGGAGAUUUCCAGAGGCCUAAAGAACGUAAGUUCUCUGGCCUGCGCUAUGCAGAACAUCAGACCAGAUGAUCAGAACGAUCCCUUCUGACCUGAAAAAUCUCUGGGUGAAAACCUGGCCCCCAUUGAAUCAAUAGAAAAACUCCCAUUGACUUCAACCGUGCCAGGAUUUUACACUAGGAAUCCAUGAAAUAGCACUGACCCAGAUGAACGGCACCAAGCAACAUCUGUGUGGGAGUUGGUAUUGGAACCAGUAUUUAACGAGGAGCAUAACAUAAUCACAGAGGCCAGGCUCUGUACCCCUCUAGCCCACCUUCUCCUUUUGGGGCUUCUCCUGCCCCUGUUCAUCUUGAUGGACAUAUUGGAGCACCACUGAUGAAGACCCUAUAAUUGAACUACACUCGAUGGGGUGGAGAAUCCGCACUUGCCAAAGCCUUUCAGCACCAGGCCAGGGUAAAUGGAGUGACCUCUCCUGCCAUCCUCCGGGCAGAGCGUCUUUGUUAACCCCAUUCAAUUUGUCCCACAUACUGUGUGCCAGAACUUUAUGUCCCCACAAUGACCUUUACCUGCUACGGGGUCCCAUGUCUGGACUAGAGCCCCAGCCCUGAACCCAGCUGCAACAAGGGAAGUUGACAUUUUCAGAGGCAGAUCACCAAACCAGAGAUGCUGACCCCAAGCCGCCCAGAUGCAAGCGUCCCACUUCUCAGGGCAGGGAGUGAUCUCUUUUCUCUCUGUGCUGUUACAGCAGUCUGGGCCAAGGGCAGUCGUGCAAGGUUAAUUUCAGCAGGGAGGGAAGCACUGUCCCUUAAAGUCAUAGACCUGAUUCAGCAAGGUACAUGAGCACAUGAGCAGCCCCAGUGACUCCAGUAGGGUUACAGUCUGGGCGACAAUGGGAGCAUUCAUGUGCUUAGCCAUGUACGUGCGUUCUGAGUUUGCACCAGAAGCAGCAAGUGCCUGGUGCAGGAAAGUGUUGAGUUUAAGAUGAAUAUUCUCCAACCUCCCAGAGAAUGUCAUGGGCUGGGUUUGGGGAAGGAGCACAGAGGUUAGAAAACCCCAGGUGGGCUGCAUACCCCUUGAACUUAGCACUCAGUCCCCAACCCCAAUGAGUCCGAGCAAUCAAGCACCCUCUUGAUGCAGCGUCCGGUUCCACAGCAGGGAAUAAUUAGUCCCUAGGCAAAGGCUGCAUGGAAUGUGCAUCCAUACCUUGCCAUAGAGUUGCCAUGUGGAAGUCUCUUAAGGUUCUGCAACACCUUCCUGAAAUGCUCUGAAAUCACAUGUGUUAGCCACUGGUGCUGGUCGGGACUGACACCGCCUGUGACCAUCAAUCCAUCCCAACGUCUCUCGUCUGCACUAUCUAUGACCUUGCCUUUCAGCAGAGUACAUGAGGCCGUGGUCUUUUCCCACCAACCCAGCCACCUCUCCUGUAACACUCUGCACUCCUUUCAUGCUGGGUAUUCCACUUAGGGCCUUAUUUUCAGAGGCACUAAGCACUCACACCUGGUUGUCCCAAGCUGGGAACCCAAAAACAGCGGUGGUCAGAAUCAGAGGACCUUUGUGAGAAUUUAGGCCUAAAUCUCCCUGAGGCCAACUCCAGCUCCUCUCUCUCCUGCUGAACUCAGACCUGCCCUUGGCCCCCAUUGUCUGACCCUGGCAUCACACCCUAACCUUGAACCCUCCUUCUCCUCCCAAUUCUCCACCUCCCUAUCUCUACCACUAUCCCAUUGCCCCAAAAUGUAGGUUGCAUUAUUCUCUCCAUUCCUUUCCCUUGAGUUAGGAUUUAACUCCAGAACUGGUUGUUGCAUGGGAAGAACUAAUCCCCGCUUUCCGCCCAAAGAUUGCCCUCUCUUCUCUGUCACCACUGGCUUUUCCACUAUACACUAUCCAGCAGACUCACAACCUUGGUGUCAUUUUUGACUCAUCUCCCCACUGCAUUGCAUC